GACGAACGCUGGCGGCGUGCCUAAUACAUGCAAGUCGAGCGGACCGACGGGAGCUUGCUCCCUUAGGUCAGCGGCGGACGGGUGAGUAACACGUGGGUAACCUGCCUGUAAGACUGGGAUAACUCCGGGAAACCGGGGCUGAUACCGGAUGCUUGAUUGAACCGCAUGGUUCAAUCAUAAAAGGUGGCUUUUAGCUACCACUUGCAGAUGGACCCGCGGCGCAUUAGCUAGUUGGUGAGGUAACGGCUCACCAAGGCGACGAUGCGUAGCCGACCUGAGAGGGUGAUCGGCCACACUGGGACUGAGACACGGCCCAGACUCCUACGGGAGGCAGCAGUAGGGAAUCUUCCGCAAUGGACGAAAGUCUGACGGAGCAACGCCGCGUGAGUGAUGAAGGUUUUCGGAUCGUAAAACUCUGUUGUUAGGGAAGAACAGGUACCGUUCGAAUAGGGCGGUACCUUGACGGUACCUAACCAGAAAGCCACGGCUAACUACGUGCCAGCAGCCGCGGUAAUACGUAGGUGGCAAGCGUUGUCCGGAAUUAUUGGGCGUAAAGCGCGCGCAGGCGGUUUCUUAAGUCUGAUGUGAAAGCCCCCGGCUCAACCGGGGAGGGUCACUGGAAACUGGGGAACUUGAGUGCAGAAGAGGAGAGUGGAAUUCCACGUGUAGCGGUGAAAUGCGUAGAGAUGUGGAGGAACACCAGUGGCGAAGGCGACUCUCUGGUCUGUAACUGACGCUGAGGCGCGAAAGCGUGGGGAGCGAACAGG
rnacentral:rRNA from 1 species